UACGUAGGGGGCGAGCGUUGUCCGGAUUCAUUGGGCGUAAAGAGCUCGUAGGCGGCUUGGUUAGUUGGGUGUGAAACCUCCAGGCUUAACCUGGAGACGCCACUCAAUACUGCCAUGGCUAGAGUCCGGUAGGGGACCACGGAAUUCCUGGUGUAGCGGUGAAAUGCGUAGAGAUCAGGCAGAACACCUGGGGCGAAGGCGGCCGGCUGGGCCGUCCCUGACGCUGAGGCGCGAAGGCGUGGGGAGCGAACGGG
rnacentral:rRNA from 1 species